rnacentral:misc_RNA from 1 species
GCGAGUAUGGCCCUCACGGGUCUAAUCCACCACAAACACCUUUGUGGACCAGUCAGGGGGACUCGGCCGUGAAGGCCCAGGCGAUUAGCGGAAGGGCCCUCCUUUUGCAAACCCGUUUAGAAGUCUUGAAAGUACUUUUGUAUAAUCUAGUA